AUUCCACAAAUAAGUUCUAUAGAUUGAUUAUUAUUAUUAAUUUAUUUUAUUAUUAUUUUUUAUUUAUUUAUAAUUUUAUUAUAUUUUUUAUUUAAUUUAAAAAUUAAAAAUUUUAAUAAUUUAAAAAUUAUAAAUAAUUUUUUUGUUAUUAAAUGAUAUUAA
rnacentral:misc_RNA from 1 species